CCUACGGGAGGCAGCAGUGGGGAAUAUUGGGCAAUGGGCGCAAGCCUGACCCAGCAACGCCGCGUGAAGGAAGAAGGUUUUCGGGUUGUAAACUUCUUUUCUCAGGGACGCAGAAAGUGACGGUACCUGAGGAAUAAGCAACGGCUAACUACGUGCCAGCAGCCGCGGUAAUACGUAGUUGGCAAGCGGUAUCCGGAUUUACUGGGUGUAAAGGGCGUGUAGGCGGGACUGCAAGUCAGAGGUGAAAACCACGGGCUCAACCUGUGGCCUGCAUUUGAAACUGUAGUUCUUGAGUACUGGAGAGGCAUACGGAAUGCCUGGUGUAGCGGUGAAAUGCGUAGAUAUUAGGAGGAACACCAGUGGCGAAGGCGGUCUGCUGGACAGCAACUGACGCUGAGGCGCGAAAGCGUGGGGAGCAAACAGGAUUAGAUACCCUUGUAGUC
rnacentral:rRNA from 1 species